GCCGCGGUAGCUCAGUUGGUAGAGCAUCGGACCCUUUAUUCGAAGGUCGCAGGUUCGGUCCCUGCUCGCGGCA
rnacentral:tRNA from 1 species